rnacentral:lncRNA from 1 species
GGGUGUGUGGCAUACAUGCUAUGUUUCCAAAGCAAAAUUUAACAUGGAUGGAAUUAAAGACCAAGAGCAAUAAUUGAAGAAAACUUCCUGUUGGUGCACUAAACUGAUCUCCAACCAUGUGGCAUCAUUAUAUGAGAUCAAAGAAUUAUCAAUCUCGAAGCACCAAUAGUGCCUUCAUUGGGUGAUUGAAUAUUAAGGUUGGCU